rnacentral:rRNA from 1 species
CAAGGUUUCCGUAGGUGAACCUGCGGAAGGAUCAUUGUCGAAACCAAGAACUGAUGGACUGCGAAAAUGUUUCUGUCGCAUUUGGAGCUUGACGAGUCAGUGCUUGCUCUCUCAUCUUCUCCAAUGCAUCCCACCCAUCCCUCUCAGAUGCGGGGUAUGCUAGGUGGGCCAAACAAACUACCCACGGCGCGUGAUGCGCCAAGGAUCACAAAUGCGGAGCGACGAUUCCGUCAUGCGCCCGUCCGUUGUUGUCGUGGCUGGCAUGUGCGUCUGUCUCCUUAGAUUGAGUAUGAAAUAACGACUCUCGGCAACGGAUAUCUUGGCUCUCGCAUCGAUGAAGAACGUAGCAAAAUGCGAUACUUGGUGUGAAUUGCAGAAUCCCGUGAACCAUCGAGUCUUUGAACGCAAGUUGCGCCCGAAGCCAUUUGGCUUAGGGCACGCCUGCCUGGGCGUCACACAUAUCGUUGCUCCACGCCCUUCCUACUACCAUCAUGGGAACGUUGGACGCGUUGUGGAUAAUGGCCUCCCGUGCGCCUCGGCGUGCGGAUGGCCCAAAUGUAAACCCUUGGUGUCGCACGUCACGACCAUUGGUGGUAGAUGAUACGACUCUUAUGUUGUGAUAUGCUGCGUCUACCUCGUCGGUUUAUAUCAUUGGAUGUGAUUCAUCCAAACAGACCCAAUGCCAGCUUUGUGGCCUGCAUCGGCGACCCCAGGUCAGGCGGGAUCACCCGCUGAGUUUAAG